GACGCUGAACAGGCAGGAAGCCAAAUCUCUCAGGGAGCGAAACUCAAAUGAGACGUGCCAGUGGUUCAGUAGCAUUGGAUUCCAAAAAUGUCUCCCUUUCAUCCAAGACAGCUGGAUGUUCGUCUUUUGGAGAAGAUGCAGCUUAACUGCCAGGUGUUCAAAGAGGAAAUCUCCAUGGUCCAUCGUAACCGACAGGUGGCCCAUCUCCAAAAUGUUCUGCGGGACACUUAUAUUCAGACUUGUAAAGGUGAAUGGAUCAUCGGUGGUAAACUGGACAGAAGAAAAACUGAGUGACCUUCUUCUCCAGAUAAACAGCGCUCAGAUAAUUGUGCUCCCCCACGCCCCCGCGACCCUCACCUCACA